UACGUAGGGGGCAAGCGUUGUCCGGAAUCAUUGGGCGUAAAGCGCGCGUAGGCGGCCCGAUCAGUCCGCUGUAAAAGUCCAGGGCUCAACCCUGGAAAGCCGGUGGAUACUGUCGGGCUAGAGUCCGGAAGAGGCGAGUGGAAUUCCUGGUGUAGCGGUGGAAUGCGCAGAUAUCAGGAAGAACACCCGUGGCGAAGGCGGUUCUCUGGAACGCAACUGACGCUGAGACGCGAAAGCGUGGGGAGCGAACAGG
rnacentral:rRNA from 1 species